rnacentral:rRNA from 1 species
GAUGAACGCUGGCGGCGUGCCUAAUACAUGCAAGUCGAGCGAACGGACGAGAAGCUUGCUUCUCUGAUGUUAGCGGCGGACGGGUGAGUAACACGUGGAUAACCUACCUAUAAGACUGGGAUAACUUCGGGAAACCGUAGCUAAUACCGGAUAAUCUUUUGAACCGCAUGGUUCAAAAGUGAAAGACGGUCUUGCUGUCACUUAUAGAUGGAUCCGCGCUGCAUUAGCUAGUUGGUAAGGUAACGGCUUACCAAGGCAACGAUGCAUAGCCGACCUGAGAGGGUGAUCGGCCACACUGGAACUGAGCCACGGUCCAGACUACUACGGGAGGCAGCAGUAGGGAAUCUUACGCAAUGGGCGAAAGCCUGACGGAGCAACGCCGCGUGAGUGAUGAAGGUCUUCGGAUCGUAAAACUCUGUUAUUAGGGAAGAACAUAUGUGUAAGUAACUGUGCACAUCUUGACGGUACCUAAUCAGAAAGCAACGGCUAACUACGUG